UGAGGAAUAUUGGUCAAUGGGCGAGAGCCUGAACCAGCCAUGCCGCGUGCAGGAAGACGGUCCUAUGGAUUGUAAACUGCUUUUAUUUGGGAAUAAACCUCUUUACGUGUAAAUAGCUGAAUGUACCGAAGGAAUAAGGAUCGGCUAACUCCGUG
rnacentral:rRNA from 1 species